rnacentral:rRNA from 1 species
AUUGAACGCUGGCGGCAGGCCUAACACAUGCAAGUCGAACGAGUGGCGGACGGGUGAGUAAUGUCUGGGAAACUGCCUGAUGGAGGGGUAUAACUACUGGAAACGGUAGCUAAUACCGCCUACCAUCGGAUGUGCCCAGAUGGGAUUGGCUGGUUGGUGGGGUAACGGCUCACCAAGGCGACGAUCCCUAGCUGGUCUGAGAGGAUGACCGGCGACACUGGAACGGAGACACGGUCCAGACUCCUAGGGGAGGCAGCAGUGGGGAAUAUUGGACAAUGGGCGCAAGCCGGAUGCAGCCAUGCCGCGUGUAUGAAGAAGGCCUUCGGGUUGUAAAGUACUUUCAGCGGGGAGGCGUUACCCGCAGAAGAAGCACCGGCUAACUCCGUGCCAGCAGCCGCGGUAAUUC